rnacentral:tRNA from 1 species
GCGCCCGUAGCUCAGCGGAUAGAGCGCAAGAUUGCGGAUCUUGAGGCCACAGGUUCAAGUCCUGUCGGGCGCA